GAAGAAAAACAGGGACCUUUGCUUUACCCAUCAAUCAAAUAGUUCCAAUUUCCAAAUGGUUCUGAAGAAGGGUGUGCUCCUGGUGGGGUUGGUUGGGGAAGAUGGGGUUGUGCUCAUGAAUGGUCUUUUUCUUUUUCCAGUGAGAGAAAGCUAAGUUUUGCCCAAUCCCACAUUUCGUUUUAAUGCAUCUGAAGAUACUCUCCGCAGGACCGCAGUUACUAUUUACCUGUGCUGUCGAAACAACAGAGAGUUGGGAAGGGAAGGGAUAACCAUUUGGCCCUGAAAAGUUAAAGAGAGAAUCC
rnacentral:lncRNA from 1 species